CCUACGGGUGGCAGCAGUGGGGAAUAUUGCACAAUGGGGGAAACCCUGAUGCAGCGACGCCGCGUGAGUGAAGAAGUAUUUCGGUACGUAAAGCUCUAUCAGUAGGGAAGAAAAUGACGGUACCUGACUAAGAAGCCCCGGCUAACUACGUGCCAGCAGCCGCGGUAAUACGUAGGGGGCAAGCGUUAGCCGGAUUUACUGGGUGUAAAGGGAGCGUAAGCGGCAGCGCGAGUCUGGCGGUAAAUCCCAGGGCUUAACCAUGGAACUGCUUUGGAAACUGGGCAGCUGGAGUGCAGGAGAGGUAAGCGGAAUUCGUGGUGUAGCGGUGAAAUGCGUAGAUAUUAGGAGGAACACCAGUGGCGAAGGCAGCUUACUGGACUGUAACUGACGUUGAGGCUCGAAAGCGUGGGGAGCAAACAGGAUUAGAUACCCCAGUAGUC
rnacentral:rRNA from 1 species